UGGUCCUGGUUUGUAAUAAGUUUAAACAUUAAGUAAAGAGUUAUAUUUUUAUAAUUUAUUUUAAUCUAAUACAGCAGCGACUUGUGGAGCACAAACGAGACAUUAGGACUGGAAAAAUGACAACAGCGCUCGCAGAACGGGCAUAUGCGGAUGACGUAACAAUAGAUUGGGAUAGAGCUCAAAUAGUCAAACCGAUUUACAGCUCCAACACAGCCAUUACGCAAGAGACACUGGAGAUAUUGACUAGAAGAAAAAAGCAGAACAUCAUAAAUGACAGACCCAUGACUGAUUUACCGGAAGCUUGGACUUUUUUAUUGAAGAAGAAUGGGAAAAUAAAAUUGACCACAAGGCACAAGCCUUGAAAACACGGAACUUUAUUUUAUCAUGUUUUAUUAAUGUAUUCGAUGAG
rnacentral:lncRNA from 1 species